rnacentral:misc_RNA from 1 species
AACGCACCUUGCGCUCCUGGGUAUUCCUAGGAGCAUGCCUGUUUGAGUGUCAUGAAUCCCUCAAAUCCCAAUGUUUUGUAAAAGAAGCGUUGCUUGGAUUUGGUUGUGGGCCUUUGCAGUCUUUCACGAGUCUGCUGGCCUUAAAGAUAUUAGCUGGACCUCUUUAAUCUCUGAGAAGAGUACUUCCAUUUGAUGUAAUAAAUUUGCAUUGGUGGAAGCUCUACUUAGUACAUAAAGCAAGUCUGCUUCUAACCCGGCGCGAGUCUUUGCACUCAACCCACUAUUUAUAACUCUGGCCUCAAAUCAGGUAGGACUACCCGCUGAACUUAA